AUCCAGCUGACGAGUCCCAAAUGAAACUGAACACACGUCAUGGAU
rfam:Schistosoma mansoni, Puerto Rico, WGS project CABG01000000 data, contig: 0178